AAAUCUGGCCCCUCGGGUCCGAGUUGUAAUUUGUAGAGGAUGCUUUUGGCAAGGCGCCGCCCGAGUUCCCUGGAACGGGACGCCACAGAGGGUGAGAGCCCCGUCUGGCUGGCCGCCGAGCCUCUGUAAAGCUCCUUCGACGAGUCGAGUAGUUUGGGAAUGCUGCUCAAAAUGGGAGGUAUAUGUCUUCUAAAGCUAAAUAUUGGCCAGAGACCGAUAGCGCACAAGUAGAGUGAUCGAAAGAUGAAAAGCACCUUGAAAAGAGGGUUAAAUAGUACGUGAAAUUGUUGAAAGGGAAGCGCUUGUGACCAGACUUGGGCGCGGCGGAUCAUCCGGGGUUCUCCCCGGUGCACUUCGCCGUGUCCAGGCCAGCAUCAGUUCGUCGCGGGGGAAAAAGGCUUCGGGAACGUGGCUCCCCUGGGAGUGUUAUAGCCCGUUGCAUAAUACCCUGCGGUGGACUGAGGACCGCGCAUCUGCAAGGAUGCUGGCGUAAUGGUCACCAGCGACCCGUCUUGAAACACGGACCAAGGAG
rnacentral:rRNA from 1 species